CUCCCCCAAUCCCCGCCUCCUCUCCUCCUCCCCAAUCCGACGCCUCUCGCCGCCCUCUCUCCUUCCCCUACGCUUUCGACCCCACCCUCGCCAGCUCCCAAGGAUCCGCCGAGUGGAGAACCAGGAAGGAGGAGGGACGUGAAUAGGAGAAGAGGGGGUGCGUCACAGGAGACCUAGGCGGCGGCUCGAGCAGAGGAGCGGGGCCUCGAGAUGCUGCAUUCGCCACUCCCCUGCCUCGAACCAGCUGCCGCCAUGGAGAAGGACGUGCAGUAGGGGAGGCCGGCGGUGGAGGGAGGAGCGGCGAGGACAGAGGCGCCGGCUGUCAGGGACCUCCCAGCCUUCUUCUUCUCCACGUCAGGUGGAGUUGGAGCCGUCGAGCGCGACCUCGAUCUGGAGUAGGGUAGCAGCAGCCACAGGGUGCUCCAACCUCGUCUCCGCGGGAGGGGGCAGGCGCAACUCCUCCUCUCCACUCCCCCACGUGACAGCGGCCCCAACCCCCACCCCAACCCCACCACCUCUAGCCCCUCUGCAAUGGAAGUCUCUUUUUUUCUCUCUUCUUCCGCCCCCGUCCAAGGAUUGGUCUGUGAUUCUCGUCUGUUGUUUUUGUUGGGCAGUGUUUCGGUGUUUGGUUUUAAUGGUGGGUGGUGAGAAGAACAGAGGUGGAAGCAGGACCGCGAGGCCGGAGCUCCAGGUGUCGCUCGCGUUUAGGUGGAGUGGAGAGGUGUCGCGGGCCAUGACUGAUGGGUCGUUGCUCACUGGUCGUCGUCCCCUGUCCACCAUCCAGGUGCCUAUGCGAGAAACAUUGGAAGAAUCCAUGUAUUUAGCCGUGGCAUGUUUGGCAGCUACAGCAGCUUCUGCAGCUUUCUUCCCUCGUCAUUCCUCAUAUAUGUGGGCAAUUCAAUGUUGUUACCAGUGGGAGUCCAUAGUGCGUGUGUGUCUGGUCCAGUAUGUGGUUCCAUAGGAUAAGAAAAAAGUUUGUCAAGAAUGGAUCUCUAAAUGUGUUUCGCCUUGAGGUAAAUAAUUUGCAUGAUGUCUACUUUUCGUUAAUUUGGGUCAGGCCAAAAUAAGGUGUAGGCAAAUUUCAGAUUUUUUAUCUGUACUGCAUUUUCACAAAUUAAAACAGUGACCUUGACAUUACCAGUCUAUGGGGGGAGUCAUGGAGAAGCCAAGCUUAAAUGAGAUUUCAAAAUUUUGUGGCCUUUGUUAACAUUUAAAAACCUGGUGCUUCUACUUGUGAAAGAACAGGUAGAGAUAAGGCCCAUCAGUUCAGGUAGAGAUAAUGAAAGAACAGAAGAAGGACUGAGCAAGAGGAGGAACUUCGUCGACCCAGCCGUGAGCAAAUGAUGCUCUAGCGAGUCGAUGAUGACCGUCAUGGAGAUCUGCCUGCGGGGCCUGACCAAGGAACCAACGCUGAAGCCGUUAGACGAGGACGUGCUCUAGAACCUGCAGUUUGCAGCCCUAGUGUAGGAUGACUGGAACAGCGAGGAGUCCCCGCUCUCAUCGUCGCAGAUCCGUGCACAAUCCGCAGAGUACUAACCUCUAGGAAGGCUGAGAAAAAAUAUUGGCAAGCAUUACCAUUAUGAUCCUCCAUCGAUCAUCAUUGUUGACGGAAUUUCUGUUUCUCUUCAUAUAGGAUACAGAUAUGUGAUUCUCAUGUGAUCCUUUUGCUGGAAACUUGCUAAUCUUAGGGGUGUUGCUACUGGUGUAGAAACCGUUUUAUCAAAAGAACUAAAGUAGUAGCUAAUCCAAGCAUUCAAGAAUUGACCCAGAGGUUACGCUAUACCGGCACGAAGUCAGAGCAGCGCCUAAAGACUACACAAGAUAGUUUCUGAUGACCUUCAGUCUAUAUGUCCUAACCAACAACAUCCACCUUUUGUUUUAUCAAUUGAUCCAGUAUCUUUGCCCUUUUGGCAUUGCUUUGAGCAAGAUAUGUAUAGCCUUUAGAUUUCCAUUCAUGUAUGAUACUGCACGUACACUUUAGACCUCAUUACUGUCUCUGUGGUCAAAAGAAGUUUGUGAUUAAUUGUUCUAUAUAUGUAAUCAACUGCCCUUCUACUAAUAUUUUCAGAAGACUAUUUAUAUAUGUUUACACUG